rnacentral:rRNA from 1 species
UACGUAGGUGGCAAGCGUUGUCCGGAUUUACUGGGCGUAAAGAGCGCGCAGGCGGUCCGAUCAGUCGAAUGUGAAAGCCCCCGGCUUAACUGGGGAGGGUCACGCGAUACUGAUCGACUCGAAGGCAGGAGAGGGUAGUGGAAUUCCCGGUGUAGUGGUGAAAUGCGUAGAUAUCGGGAGGAACACCAGUGGCGAAGGCGACUACCUGGCCUGUUUCUUGACGCUGAGGCGCGAAAGCUAGGGGAGCAAACGGG